rnacentral:sRNA from 1 species
GCUGUACCGGUUCGAUUGGGAUACUCAUCAAUAAUUACUUGAAAACCGAGAAAGCUUAUCUUAGCAAUGGCGUGCCGGCAUGGGCCUCGCGGCGCAGAGUCGGAUUACAGAACUAGGAAGGGCGCUCAAAUCUUAUUUAGCUCGGAGUUUCAUCACAUCAUCGGUGCAGUCUUUUU